rnacentral:rRNA from 1 species
AAGAAGCACCGGCUAACUCCGUGCCAGCAGCCGCGGUAAUACGGAGGGUGCAAGCGUUAAUCGGAAUUACUGGGCGUAAAGCGUACGCAGGCGGUCUGUUAAGUCAGAUGUGAAAUCCCCGGGCUCAACCUGGGAACUGCAUUUGAAACUGGCAGGCUAGAGUCUCGUAGAGGGGGGUAGAAUUCCAGGUGUAGCGGUGAAAUGCGUAGAUAUCUGGAGGAAUACCGGUGGCGAAGGCGUCCCCCUGGACGAAGACUGACGCUCAGGUACGAAAGCGUGGGGAGCAAACAGGAUUAGAUACCCUGGUAGUCCAUGCUGUAAACGAUGUCGAUUUGAAGGUUGUGGUCCUGAGCCGUGGCUUUCGGAGCUAACGCGUUAAAUCGACCGCCUGGGGAGUACGGCCGCAAGGUUAAAACUCAAAUGAAUUGACGGGGGCCCGCACAAGCGGUGGAGCAUGUGGUUUAAUUCGAUGCAACGCGAAGAACCUUACCUACUCUUGACAUCCAGAGAACUUGGCAGCGAUGCCUUGGUACCUUCGGGAACCCUGAGGCAGGUGCUGCAUGGCUGUCGUCAGCUCGCGUUGUGAAAUGUUGGGUUAAGUCCCGCAACGAGCGCAACCCUUAUCCUUUGUUGCCAGCGAUUAGGUCGGGAACUCAAAGGAGACUGCCGGUGAUAAACCGGAGGAAGGUGGGGAUAACGUCAAGUCAUCAUGGCCCUUACGAGUAGGGCUACACACGUGCUACAAUGGCGUAUACAAAGAGAAGCAAUCUCGCGAGAGUUAGCGGACCUCAUAGAGUACGUCGUAGUCCGGAUUGGAGUCUGCAACUCGACUCCAUGAAGUCGGAAUCGCUAGUAAUCGUAGAUCAGAAUGCUACGGUGAAUACGUUCCCGGGCCUUGUACACACCGCCCGUCACACCAUGGGAGUGGGUUGCAAAAGAAGUAGGUAGCUUAACCUUUAGGAGGGCGC